AUUAACGCGAAGAACCUUACCAAGGCUUGACAUAUACCGGAAACACCUAGAGAUAGGUGCCCCCUUGUGGUCGGUAUACAGGUGGUGCAUGGCUGUCGUCAGCUCGUGUCGUGAGAUGUUGGGUUAAGUCCCGCAACGAGCGCAACCCUUGUCCUGUGUUGCCAGCAUGCCCUUCGGGGUGAUGGGGACUCACAGGAGGCCGCCGGGGUCAACUCGGAGGAAGGUGGGGACGACGUCAAGUCAUCAUGCCCCUUAUGUCUUGGGCUGCACACGUGCUACAAUGGCCGGUACAAUGAGCUGCGAUGCCGCGAGGCGGAGCGAAUCUCAAAAAGCCGGUCUCAGUUCGGAUUGGGGUCUGCAACUCGACCCCAUGAAGUCGGAGUUGCUAGUAAUCGCAGAUCAGCAUUGCUGCGGUGAAUACGUUCCCGGGCCUUGUACACACCGAAU
rnacentral:rRNA from 1 species